rnacentral:rRNA from 1 species
GGGUUGUGAGGUUAAGCGACUAAGCGUACACGGUGGAUGCCCUGGCAGUCAGAGGCGAUGAAGGACGUGCUAAUCUGCGAUAAGCGCCGGUAAGGUGAUAUGAACCGUUAUAACCGGCGAUUUCCGAAUGGGGAAACCCAGUGUGACUCGUCACACUAUCAUUAACUGAAUCCAUAGGUUAAUGAGGCGAACCGGGGGAACUGAAACAUCUAAGUACCCCGAGGAAAAGAAAUCAACCGAGAUUCCCCCAGUAGCGGCGAGCGAACGGGGAGGAGCCCAGAGCCUGAAUCAGCAUGUGUGUUAGUGGAAGCGUCUGGAAAGGCGCGCGAUACAGGGUGACAGCCCCGUACACAAAAGCGCAUGUGCUGUGAGCUCGAUGAGUAGGGCGGGACACGUGGUAUCCUGUCUGAAUAUGGGGGGACCAUCCUCCAAGGCUAAAUACUCCUGACUGACCGAUAGUGAACCAGUACCGUGAGGGAAAGGCGAAAAGAACCCCGGCGAGGGGAGUGAAAAAGAACCUGAAACCGUGUACGUACAAGCAGUGGGAGCACAGGUUUACCUGUGUGACUGCGUACCUUUUGUAUAAUGGGUCAGCGACUUAUAUUCUGUAGCAAGGUUAACCGAAUAGGGGAGCCGUAGGG